rnacentral:misc_RNA from 1 species
UGAUUGGUGACGCUUUAUUGCAUUGCCUCUCUGUCUCUCUUUCUUGCCCCACCCACCCACACGCACACACACGCGCGCCUGUUUCAUUGCCCUCCCCUUUCCUUCGUUGGUUUCAUUUGGCUUCGGCCUAUCGCGGUUUCUUUGCCUAUACACUCUCUACUCACCCGCGCGCCCAGCAACGGUCCACUCUACCACCGGCCCCUUACGCGCACAACAACAGCAACACCGACAGGCAGACAGACGCCCACACAGGACCCCCCCGUAUCCGCUCUCACAGGUACACCGUAGAGAGAAGGCACCGACAGUACUUCCUUUUUUUUUCGCUUCUUCUGUCGCGCUGCACAUUGCGUGCGCAGGCCAAGGGAUCAGUUGCGCUUUCGACCAAGAAGCUGUUGCUAUCUGGUUUUCGCUCUUCACACAGUCCUCUAUCUACGCAGACAGCCACCAAACUGAAAGACUGCCGUUACAGUGCUUCGUGGCGAAAGAAGAUAACACGUCAAUGUCGUCCCCGCCACCGCCGCGUAAUAUCGAGGAGGACCUCCACAAGAAUGAGGAGGAGAAGCCCGCGCCGGAGUUGGACGAUGCCGACAUCCCGGUAGACCCGUUGCUCACGCUGCUGUAUAUCCGUCACACGCUGACUUCGCCGUGGAGCUCCUCCGAGGAGCGAGAGACGGCCAAGGCGGCGAUGAUGGAGGAGAUGGAGAAGCACAACAUGGCGCCCUACAUCCGCUUAGUCUGCGAGGCUCUCGGGGUCCCGCUCGAUGAGUCGAAGUUGGCAGAGAUGGACGCCAUCAACGCCAAGAAGGUGGCCGCCUUCGACGCGCGGCUGAAGGAUGCGGUCGACAACCUCGGCGACACGGAGGUGCGCGAUGUGCUACAGGCCAAGUGCGAUCACUACGCCCGCAUUGGAGACCUCGAGAUGUGCAUGAAGACGAACGAGGAGUGCGCCGCCAAGACGCUCGCGACAGGCCCGAAGCUGGACCUGUACUUCCAGCGCAUUCGUCUCGGCAUUGCCUUUUCCGACAACGACAUUGCCGCCAAGGGAAUCACGGACGCACAUCGUCUCAUGAAAGACGGCGACUGGGAGCGCCGCAACCGCCUGCGUGUGUACGAGGGCAUCUAUCACGUGUUUAUUCGCGACUUCCAGCGUGGGUCCGCGCUGCUGCUCGACUCCAUCACGACGUUUGCGGCUGGCGAGCUUCUGACGUUUCAGGACUUCGUUUUCAUUACCGUAGUCGCAAGCCUCCCGGUCCUCAGCCGACCGGAGCUGCGCAAGCGUAUCGUGUAUAGCCCCGAGGUUAACCGCACCGGCGUCGACGAUGUGCGGGAGUUGGUGAACUCGAUCUACGACUGUCAAUACAACAAGGUGUUCCCCAAUCUGGAGGUGGUGUGCCAGCAUCUGCGCAAGGUCGUCUACCUCUCUCCGCACGUCAGCUACUUCUUCCGCGAGAUGCGGGUGCUCGUCUUCACGCAGUUCCUGGAUUCAUACAGCAGUGUCACGCUGGAGUCGAUGGGUGCGGCCUUCGGUAUUCCGGUGCCGGCGCUGGACAGCAUGUUGUGCACGCUGAUCUCCAACGAGCGUAUCGCGUGCAAAGUGGACCGCGUCGACGGCAGUGUCGAGACAUACCGCGGCGACACAACGAACUUCGACUACCAUCGCAUUGUGAAGAGCGGCGACCUGCUACUGAACCGCAUUCAGAAGCUCUCUCGUCUGGUGGACAUGUAGAGAAGGCGCGCUGUCGUGCUGCGUGUCGCAUUCGUGUCUGUUGGGUCCGAUUCAGAUACGCGUGCGCCUGUGUGGUGAUGUGCAGAAGAUGUUUGUAGCCGUGUGCGUGUGUGCGGCUGGCAGAGAACGGAGGCUGGGAAGACGAGGUGCCCGCAGGUGGAAUGUGGUUUGAAAGUGGACAGAGGUCGUUAGGGACUGGGCAGGAGGGGGAGGGGCGAGAGGACGGAAGACAUAUACGGCCGCUUGACAGCGAAUGCGAAGGUGCGUUGCUCCGGGGCGAGCCUUGGAAGACGUUGACACACACACACACACACACACACACACACAAACUCGACAAGGGAUGCCCGAGGUGCCAGCUAGCUCUCCACCUCCCUUCUGUUAUCACCCGCCCUGUCUCACAUCACCGUCUCACCAGCAUCCGUGAACCUUUCCUCCGGUGCCAACACAUCGUCUCGUGCCUUUUCCCUUUCUCUUGCGUGCCUCACUCUUGUUGUCUACAUGCUAAACAAGCACAGCGGUAUGCUGGAAGGAGAGAAAGGGAGAUGAUGAGGAGGAAAGCGGAAGAGAGGUGGCACGCACGGCUGUGCCAGCUUGUCCCCCUGCUGCCCUUAUCAUCUCCCUUUCUAUUUCGUUUUUGGUUUCCGUUUUGUUUGUCGAGUUAAUGUGCGUGGCUGGCGCCUGCGUAUGUCGUAGAGGGCCCAACAGGUGUUGAAUCGAAAGUACUUAUUAACGGAGACACGAGGUGAGGGGCGGUGUGGCGGUGGUGAUGGGGAAGCGACGAGGAGACGGACGAGGGUAACGAGAAGGAUGCCCUGCAACGGCGUCUUGCGUGCAGUGCCGAGUGGGCCUGGUGCCUCUCCCUCAUCUUGCAUGUCCUCAUCAUCUCAGUGGCGCUCACUCUCUCUCGCUGCGUGUGUGCAGUGGGUCUGCCUCGAUUCCGCUCGCCGUCCAUCUGCGGUGAAGGCGAGCAGGAAGUAUGGCACACACCUGAACACCCGCUACGCAGCACUCUUUGCGAGUGCUUACGGAGGGUUUUUUUUUUUGGCACGACGUGUGCGGUCUGAAGGCACCGACGGUGUCGAUGCCGUCUCCCCUCCACUGCUACUUCUUCGUACACGUACCAAUGUGUGCGUAUACGGUAUGGUGCACGUGCAUGUCUGUGGACGUCUAAAUCCCUCCCUCUCUCGCUGUUCACUCGUUACGUCCCGCUCCGGUGCCGCCUCUUCGCCUUCGUUCCUGUACACCGCCCAUUCCCUCGCGUUCGGCCGGUGCACGGCGUGCACACACACGCGCGCCUCUCUGUCUCUGUCUCUCCUUCUCUCUCUCCGCCUUCUCUACAUGAAG